rnacentral:piRNA from 1 species
GAGAAGAUUAGAAGUUGGAAGUGGAA